AUCAUUAACUGAAUCCAUAGGUUAAUGAGGCGAACCGGGGGAACUGAAACAUCUAAGUACCCCGAGGAAAAGAAAUCAACCGAGAUUCCCCCAGUAGCGGCGAGCGAACGGGGAGGAGCCCAGAGCCUGAAUCAGCAUGUGUGUUAGUGGAAGCGUCUGGAAAGGCGCGCGAUACAGGGUGACAGCCCCGUACACAAAAGCGCAUGUGCUGUGAGCUCGAUGAGUAGGGCGGGACACGUGGUAUCCUGUCUGAAUAUGGGGGGACCAUCCUCCAAGGCUAAAUACUCCUGACUGACCGAUAGUGAACCAGUACCGUGAGGGAAAGGCGAAAAGAACCCCGGCGAGGGGAGUGAAAAAGAACCUGAAACCGUGUACGUACAAGCAGUGGGAGCCCCACCACCAAAGCGUUUCGCUUUGUGUGGUGCACAAAGAAGCGUAACGACAGCACUGAAUGACGGUUAACGGAGCGCAAGCGACGUUCAACAUACAAAGUCAAGCAGUGGAGCGCUUUGGGGUGGGGUGACUGCGUACCUUUUGUAUAAUGGGUCAGCGACUUAUAUUCUGUAGCAAGGUUAACCGAAUAGGGGAGCCGGAGGGAAACCGAGUCUUAACCGGGCGUUAAGUUGCAGGGUAUAGACCCGAAACCCGGUGAUCUAGCCAUGGGCAGGUUGAAGGUUGGGUAACACUAACUGGAGGACCGAACCGACUAAUGUUGAAAAAUUAGCGGAUGACCUGUGGCUGGGGGUGAAAGGCCAAUCAAACCGGGAGAUAGCUGGUUCUCCCCGAAAGCUAUUUAGGUAGCGCCUCGUGAAUUCAUCUCCGGGGGUAGAGCACUGUUUCGGCUAGGGGGCCAUCCCGGCUUACCAACCCGAUGCAAACUGCGAAUACCGGAGAAUGUUAUCACGGGAGACACACGGCGGGUGCUAACGUCCGUCGUGAAGAGGGAAACAACCCAGACCGCCAGCUAAGGUCCCAAAGUCAUGGUUAAGUGGGAAACGAUGUGGGAAGGCCCAGACAGCCAGGAUGUUGGCUUAGAAGCAGCCAUCAUUUAAAGAAAGCGUAAUAGCUCACUGGUCGAGUCGGCCUGCGCGGAAGAUGUAACGGGGCUAAACCAUGCACCGAAGCUGCGGCAGCGACGCUUAUGCGUUGUUGGGUAGGGGAGCGUUCUGUAAGCCUGUGAAGGUGGCCUGUGAGGGUUGCUGGAGGUAUCAGAAGUGCGAAUGCUGACAUAAGUAACGAUAAAGCGGGUGAAAAGCCCGCUCGCCGGAAGACCAAGGGUUCCUGUCCAACGUUAAUCGGGGCAGGGUGAGUCGACCCCUAAGGCGAGGCCGAAAGGCGUAGUCGAUGGGAAACGGGUUAAUAUUCCCGUACUUGGUGUUACUGCGAAGGGGGGACGGAGAAGGCUAUGUUGGCCGGGCGACGGUUGUCCCGGUUUAAGCGUGUAGGUGUGUGUUCCAGGUAAAUCCGGUU
rnacentral:rRNA from 1 species